UCCAGGGUAGCCGAGUGGACAAGGCACCUGCCCGGUAAGCAGAAGGGUCUGAUUCCCGCCCCUGGAC